rnacentral:misc_RNA from 1 species
AACAAAGGCAAUUGAUAUUGGUUGUUGAUAGAACGGAUAGGUCGUUUAAAGUGAUAGCCACCAGUGAUAUUUAUGGUGAUAAGUCAUUGCCUACUGAAGUGUAUGAUUCGAAGCUUGACAGAUGGUCACUCCACCAAAUAAUGCCUGCAGUCAAUCUUUGUUCUUCAAAGAUGGCAUAUUGUGACUCGAGAUUGUAUCUGGAAACUCUUUCACCACUUGGUUUGAUGAUGUAUCAGCUUGACGCAGGUUACUGGGAACACAUUCCAGCCAAGUUCCCACGGUCUUUGUUGGAUGGCUAUUUGGUGGCUGGAACUCAGAAGCGUCUGUUUCUAGUGGGAAGAAUUGGCCUUUAUAGUACUCUUCAGAGCAUGAGAAUUUGGGAACUGGAUCAUGCAAAGAUUAUGUGGGUUGAGGUCAGUAGGAUGCCACCAAAGUAUUUUCGGGCUUUGUUGAGGUUAUCAGCAGAGAGAUUUGAGUGCUUUGGGCAGGAUAAUUUGAUCUGCUUCACAUCUUGGAACCAAGGCAAGGGCCUUCUGUAUGAUGUAGAUAAGAAGGUUUGGUCUUGGAUUGCUGGAUGUGCUCUUCAGUCGUAUAACAGUCAGGCGUGUUUCUAUGAGCCAAGAUUUGAUGCUUCCAUUUACUAAGCUGACAAUUUUGUGGUUUGCGGCUUCAGUCAUUCUCUUGUUAUUUGGAUGAUCAUGAGAUCAUCAGAGGGUCGAGGCUUCAUCUUUGUUUUGUGCUUUCUACAUCUAUCCCUCUUCUCUCUCUUUUGCACUUUUGUAAGGUUUCUCUUCUCC